AUCAGCACUCGAAGGUGGGGCGGGACCUUUCGCGCCUCCGCCCCGGGGUUGGCGGACUGGAGAAGGAGCGAAGAUGGCGGAGUGAGGCGUUCCCCGGGCAGCUGGCCUCCGGGCCCGGGCGGGCCUCCCGCGAGAGGCGGAGUACUUCUGCUGCACCGUGUGAGGAAUCUUAGCACACAGGAUGAAUAUUUUCAUGACCUUAGGUGCUUUUAUAUUCAGCUCAGAAUUCAGAACUCAGGACUUGGCAAGAAUCUCUGUGCUGUCUUCUCAGUGGAGCACCCUGGUUCUUUCAUGCAGCUGCUUUCCUUGGUGAAAUGCAGAUGGCUUUCUACAGGCACUUCCAUGGUGUGGAAGGAAGAGACUCCUUUCCUUUACUUCACCUCAGAUCGGCACAGAGAAGCUGGAGGAUGCAGCUAUCUGCUGACUUCAGGAAGAAAAAAACCAACUGGCAAGGAUCUUCUGCUGCAAUUUGCUUCCUUAGAAAGACACCGUUUGCAAGUGAAAGGAAAAUGUUAAAGUGGAAACAGGUGCUUAGAUUGUGCAUUGAGAAUUCUUCCUUUUAAAAGCUGCAAACAACAAACUAUACAAAUACCACGUAUGGAUGACUUCAGGUUUUGUUUUGUUUUUUUAAGUCUGCCAAUUUUAACACUAUUAUAAGCACAGUUGACACUGCAAUGGUAAAUUCCAAAUAUUCGUUAUAAUUUGAGGUGAAAGAAACAUUAUCUAAAUCCUGGCUCACCCUUUGACAGAUUUCCUGGGCAAAAACAAAUCUUUAGUAUGAUAAAAGCAAAAGGCAAGAAAGAAUAUCAGUGUUGAUUUCACAUGAAAGUGAAACCAUUGCAGUUUGUGUGCAGAGUCACAUUUUUAUAUGGAUAACUCCACUUUUUUUGUUUUUUGUUUGAAUACGAUUUUUCUCUUGGAGAAGAAAGCUGUGGUUUUAUGAGGAGGCUUUGGACAGUUUGAUGGUCUUGAGUGUUUGGGUUUUGUCUCUAUUGCUUUGGGCUUUUUAUCCUCCUCAGGAAGGACCAGCUAGUCUAUAGCUAGUUGAUAGUGGGAAGAGAAUAUGCUGGGGUGAGUCUUGCCUUACACUGCCAGCACUUGGGAGACUGAGGCAGGAAGAUCAGAAGUUCAGGUUCAACUUGAGCCACAUGGUGAAACUAUCUCAAAAACAGCAGAAAAAAAAAAAAAAAGUAGCCCAGUAACACCACUCUUGUUUUUCUGUGUGUGUGUGUGUGUGUGUGUGUGUGUAAUAGAAUGUAGCACAUGAAACUUUGGUUUUCCUUGUGGCUGUGGCUGGAAAGUUGAAUAUGUUAUGUGAUGGACCCUAUAUCGUAACUUGCCUUCAACUUUGGACAUACAGGAGUGAAGGAAAAAAUAACUGGGCAUAUAAAUCCUUUUUUCUAAGUCAUCUGACUUUUCAGCAUUUUUACAUUAUGUACUUGCAUUUUUUAUAAAAGCAUAAAUAACUUUUCCUUCAUCCCAAGAUGGGUACUUGGACAUUUAUUUUUCUAGGUGAUAAUGUAAUGUAAGGACGAAAUUCUGGAACUCAGGUAAAUUUUCCCAGUUUGAAUUGAACUUCCUUACCAUAGAAUGGACCUCAGAAGCAAUGUUCCUAGUGCUGUGGUCAAUCAACCCUAUCUACUCUUGGAAGAAAUUCAGGAUCUGAACAAAACUUCAAAUAAGAAAAGUGGGUCCAAUAAGCAGUGUGGAUCUUGUUACCAGUUACUGUAUAUUUAAAUGAUAUUCAGGUUCGGAGGUGGGGAGACCUCAAGAUAGUUCCAAGAAAUGAUGCAUGUUCAUUUUUUUCCUUUAAUUAACAGUUACGAGGAACCAUUGUGAAAACCUCUCUUUGUUUCCAAAUCAAGAGAAGUCUAUUUUAUGUGAUGCCAGGCUUUUACAAGAGAGGGAACUGUUGUUUGCAAUGGUUUCCAGUAGAGAAGGAAUUUUAAGCUUGCUAGAUGAGUUAGGAGCAGGUGCUGUUGGAGCUGAUUUCUGGAACCGUUUCCCAGUGCUAUGAAUUUGAGUCAUAGAAAGGAUCAUAAUUUGGAAAUUUGAAUAUUCUAAUGCUUAGUCAGAUUGGGCAACAAAUUUAAAUUUAUACUAAAAGUUUUUUUUCAUGAAAUACUUAUAGUCUUUUAAUGAGAGCAAAUAAUGAUAAAACACUAGAAAAAUAAGGAAUUAAAUUUAACCUAAAUUGCUGGGCUUGAUAGCCCACACCUGUAACCACUGCAUUUUGGAGGCUGAGGCAGGAACAUUGGCCACAAGAUCAAGCCCAACCUGAAUGACAGACCCUGUCUCAAAAUGAAACAAAAAUAUGACCCAAAUUUUUCUCUUUAAGUACCCCAGCCAUUUAACAUUUUCAUUUAGAAGGCAGUGGAAGCCAAUUGGUGACCUGUUCCUGCACCUUACUUGGGCAACUUAAUGAGGUAAGGCUCUUGGGCAGGGCUGUCACCACCAAGGAGGUGUCACCUUUUGCUCCAAAUGCUUCAGGUUUGUAGCUUAAACCUUCAAGUGUUGAUUGCCCUUGGUCAAAGAUGCUCCUGUGUCUUGCAUUGUUAGCGCCAGAUGACAUUUCAUAGCCUGGGGACAUUCCAGCUGUAGUUGCCUGGUGUGUGGUACGUUUUCAUUUUAUAGUCUUGUUGGGUUUUCUUAAUAGCAGCAAAAACUACCAUUUUAGAGCUGUGCUUCCACAUGUAGCCACGCCUCCUCCCUUCUCUGCAAAAGCUGGCAGUUUUUCUUUUGAAGUUACUAAACAAAAACGGGAUAUGUGCAAUAUAAAUAUAUAUAUAUAUGUAUAUUUUAAUACUUGUGGACAAGUGUUACAAGUUGUUUAAGAACAACAAAAUCACCAAUGUCUUCCAUUUUGAGAUGUGUAUAGUUUUGUAAGCAGUAGUGCUUGGUAGCAUAUUGUAGUGCCAUGUUAGGGGUUAGUGCAUGAAUUUAGCAUAACUUUAAACUUCAGGAUGAAAUAUUGAUAAUAACAGUAGUGUAAAAAGAGUGGAAAAUCCUAGACCUUUACUUUUUGUGUAUGAAUCUGUGACAUCCUCCCUGGGGAUAGGCGAUAAAGGCCAAAACAACUAAUGUCUGAACAGAAAGUGGGUUCACAUUGAGAAACAUUGUGCUUGGGGAAAUGUUAGCCUUUCACAAGGUAGCUAGAAAUAGCUGCCUUUGUAGCUUUUCAGUCCUCAAAGCAAGGCCUCAUUUCAUGGUAUGUCUUGCCCUCUUAGUUUGAAACUAGCUUGUUCUUAUAUUGUCUUUGUAGUGUAUGUCUUGGGUUCAUUUUCCCUAUUUUAUGUCCAGAGAAUUAUUUUCUGUUUUGCAUGUCUGAGAUGCUAUGCUAAUUGCUUUGGAACAUUUAAUCUCUGGCCAUUUCCUUUCCUGUUUUCAGCACGAGUGCUAAUUGCACAACCUUUUUAGUAGUUUGGAGUCUCCUGUACUCUAGGCAUUUUUCUGCUUUCCUUAUGGAAAUAAAGUAGUUGCUUUGUUUUGAAAAAGAAAGUUUUAUGUAAAAUUAAAUUCCUACCUCUAAAAGCUGCCUAGGGAACUUGGAAGGAACAGUUUUAUGGAGUGUUGUGGAGUUUGGGGGUUUAUUUUUUUAUUUUUUUAUUUUUUUUUUUUUUUUUUUUUUUUUUGUUGUUGUUGUUGUUUUAAUUUUAGAAUUAGAGUCCUGCCAGGUGAGGUGGUGUAUACUGUAAUCAAAGCAUUUGGAAAGCUGAGGCAGGAAGAUCAGGGGUUCAAAGUUAUCCUUUGUUACAUAGUGAGCUGGAAGUCAACCUGAGCUACAUGAGAUCCUGUCUCCAAAAACCGAAAGGAGAGUCUAGGACUUAUUAAUAUGUAUUACAUUAGUAUGAUAGAAAAUGUAAAACUGUGUUUAAUGUGACUUUUCCCACACAAACUAGGCAGGGACCCAGCAAUAGAUCCCUGUAGGAUAUCAAGUAGGUGGUUAGCACCUGGGUGAAUCUGCUUCUGAAAAGCAUUUUAAGAAACAAAGGGAAAAAAAAACUUGAAAAAGUAAUGCAUAUAAAGUAGCACAGUAUAUAGGAAAAGAUAUUUCCUAUUGCAAAAAUUAAAAGCCAUAAAUGAACUAAAUAUGUUAAAGAGGUGGAAUUUAGUAGCAAUAACAGUUUCGCAUGUAUAGUAAAUUGUGUUCACAAAGUUGUAUGGUUGAGUGAUUACUAUUUGAGAUUGUGAGCCUCUGCAGUCUUUUACAGAGUCCACAAAAGGAAAAUACAUCCUAGGUUAAAAAGCAUUUAAACUAUGAAUGUAUAUGAAUAUAUCUGCGUGAAAAAUACCAACUUUCAUAUAUGUGUUAAAGACUAUUUUGUUUCCCCAGAGUUUACAGCUGUUAAAUCUUUCUAGUGCUUAACCUGGAAACAAAUGUACUUAUAUAUUCCCAGUGAAGCCAACAUGUAGGGGUCUUGCUUAAAUUGUUCUUAUUAAUAGUCAUUUAUUGUGUAGAAUAAUGUAUGCUUUGUAACUGUUGUUCAUUGGUUUCCUGGCUACUUUUUCAAAACGAAAAAUCUGUUUUUGUGUGUGAUUGGUGUGUCUGGGGGGUGGGGAAGGGAGCCUCAAGAACUUGCUGGCUUUUCCUUGUAUUUAGAUCAAGGAAGUUAGGAAUUAAAGGUAAACAAAAUGACUGGGCAGUACUGGGUCUGGGGGUUAUCUGUAUGUCUGAUCCAUGUAUAUGAUGAAGCUCAUUCCUUUCUUGAUCUGAGGAAUCACACAGCUCACAUCAGAAUAUCAGAGUAGGACUGGGGUGAGUCCUCGAUUCCCUUUACCUCAUGUCCAUUGUAGCCACUUGGACAUCUGAAAAGAUCUGGGUCUGUGCUCCUUUAUUUUCCCAGGGGGAAAAAAAAUAAGAGUAGUUUUGUAGAUCUCAGACUCUCUAAUGAGUUAUUUUAUUACAAACAUAAGGGUAGGGAAAAGGCUAUACUGAGUGUAGUUUAUAUUUAAAUGUCCUGUGAUGUCCAUGUUAGGGUUUGAGACAACCAAGCAAUAUUCAGACAUCUGCAUGAUCAUGGACACAUGACUAACUAACUUAUAUCAGAGAUUACCCUUAACAGCUGUGUUUAUGGUUCUAAGUGUAAAACUAUGCUACGAGAUUUUGUGGUUAAUUAGCAUUCAUUCUUCCUGUAAUCUCUUGUUUACUCUUUGUGUACCUGUGAUAUGCAAAAUAUGAAGAGACCCCCCCCCUAGCCUUCAGGAGUUUACAUUCUCAUGGUGCUGUAAGUGCAGGCAAACUGUCUCUAGUUUAUUUAGAACAUUGCUUUGCUAUUAAUUAUACCAUUUUGGAAGAGCCCCUUAGCCAAGAGUUUUAAAAUUCAGAGGGCUAUGCUAAAUUUCAGGGCAUUACUGUUUGAGUUUACAUUGUUGUAGCUCUGCUCCUUAACUUUCCCCAGGGAGCUGUUCAUUAAUGUGAAUCAGAAAAGAAACCAUUCUGCCUGUGUAUCCUCACCACCCAUACAGCUCUCAGUAAGUGGCCAAGGAAACUUACUGCUCCAUAGACAGUCACCUCAGUUCCUUUUUCCCAGGGCUUUAAAUUUAUUCUUUACCCUCAAAGGGCCAGGAUUUCUAGCUAAGUCUUUUAGAAUUAAAUAGAAGUUUUAAGUUUAACCUUUUUUAUAUGACUUGUUUCUGUUUUGAAGCAGCAUUGUAGUAGAUACAGUGUUCCUGACUGCAUCUCUUAGAAAUUUGACUGAAACAUUUAGUUGAAGUUUUGCAUGUAUCAUUGCUUUUUCCUACAGUUCUGAAUCAAAGGGUUUGCAUGUUUAUUAAAACCAGGCCUGGUUGAAAGUAUAAGCAAUAGUAGCAGGCCCAUAACUGACUCUAGAAUGCUAACAUUCUAAUGCAUGGUUGAAAUUUCUCAUUAUUAGGUAGUUACUAGUAAUUUUCUAUAUGCAUUUAUUAAUAAUGAAGCAAUAGAUAAACCAAUAGCUUGAUUUUUAUUGUUUGAAUUAGCUUUAUCUUCUAAUUAAAGAUUGUCUUCCAUUGAAAAAUGGGAAGUACAAGAUAAGCAAGGGGCAACCACAAGACAUUCAUACUGUUAGGAAUACAGCAAGCAGUGCUCACUCUGUUUCCUAGCUCUAUUUGUAACCAAGCAUGUUUGCAAAUAAAAGAUAAUCUAAGCAUGUUGAAUAAGCUGCUAUAAUCAGUGCAGGGUUUCAGAAGAGUUGAGAAAUAGCCUAAGUAGGGUCAUCUUAAUUCAGAAAUAAGUGUUCAGUUUUCAGAACAACUAGCUGCAGGGUUUGUUUGAUUAGUUUUAUGUAGACUAAGGUUGGGGUUUGUUAAAACUAUAGAUUAAGCCAGAUGCAUGCUCUGCAGUCCCUGAACAGGCAGAAGCCAGACUGGGUGCCAUAGCUAGACUUUUUCCACAGAUAACAAAUUAGUAUCUUGGAGAUGUGUGGCAAAGUGUGCACAUGCUCCGUUUUUCAGUGAUGGGGUAUCUGUUGCAGAGUUACAGAAAUUCUGCCGUUGCUGUUUUGAUUGUGCUUGUUGCUGUAUUUAUAACUGUUGAGCAAGAGUUUUACUUUAAAUGAGUCGGUCAAAAUGUGGAUCUUGCCUAAAACUUUUGAUUCCUGAUGAACAGAAAAAGUUUCUCUUCUUCCAAAAAAGACAUUUAUUUGGGUGAACAAACAUUGGUUUGUUAUACUAGUGAAGGGAGCAGAAGUAUAAUCUAGUGGCAGAGCAUUUACCUGAGAAAAUAGGUUCAGUUGCCAGCACUACCAAAAGGACCAUGGUUAGUAGAGUAAGAAUUUCUUACAAUUUCUUGACUUGGAAAUGAUCCAAGUAACAAAUAGCUUUGACAGUUAAUGAGAAGUAUUUAUAAUGUGUGAAAGACCUAAAGAAGAAUUCAAGUAAAACUGUUUCACUGGGUUUAAUUCAGUUUACAUGUCAUAUGAUGGGGAAAUAGUUUGAAAUUUAACUUUUGUUGUGGUGCUUUGCAAUGGAUGUCACCUAGAAUGCUAACUUCAUCGUUCAGAACUGAAUUAGAGUUGCCAGUGUGGUGUUUGCUUCCUGCCGAAAUCCAGGAAUUAAGGUUUGUGAUGUAUCCCAGAUACAAAUGAUCUUUGCCACUUUGUGAUAUUCUUCCAGCCAAUAAAGUGAACGGUCAUUCAUUCUUAGUCUACUAAAAUCAAUUAAAACAGGUCACACAGGAAAAUUAAAUGUAUAUAUGGUAGAGCUCAGACUUAUAAAUGCCUUUAAAGUCAGAAUAUAGUUGUGAUUACUGAUGAUUUUCAAAACAUUUGACACCUUUGGUAAUAGUGUGCUGUGUCUUUAAUUUAAAUGUGCUCCCCCACCCCUCUUGGGGCACAGCUCUUGAAAAACACUUAGGUCCUGGACCAGUCCUUAGUCCUGACAUCCCGUCCUAGGGAUCAGACCGGUGUUCUGUCAUCAAGUUUCCAGUCUUUAAACGUUUCUAGUCUGGGCAUUAACCUUCAACCCACCCAGCCCUAUAAUGAAAAGGAUUAAGAAUAUCCAAGCAAUCUACCUGACAGUGGUGCAGCUUCUGCCUUUGAAGCACAGGUGUUGCUGUUCGAUUGCUCUUCCAUGUACAGACCAUUGUGCCGUUGGUGUGUGAGGCUAUGUUACCAUGUACCUUCCAUUGCGCCAUUGGUGUGUGAGGCUAUGUUAAAAGCUGCACUGAGUGAAGCACUACAUAAGGCAGCUUCCUAAUCUAUGCAUCUUUGGGAGUUUUGAAAAAUGUGACUCUUUGGAAAAGGAACUGUUGUGAGAGUUUGGAACUGCACCUGUAUGUAUAUGUUUUUAGCAAUAAAGCAUGAGCUGAGAAUGCA